rnacentral:misc_RNA from 1 species
AAAUUUCAACGCCCCUUUUCUGGCUUCAUAUCAAAGUCAGACCGAGGUGUUUGGAUCUGUGGAGGUUGCUGGACAGUUCAACUAUCAGCUCUUCUGAAAUUUAUUAGCGAAACUUCCGUUGCUGGCUAUGUCCACGGUAUGAUAAUUAUCUAUACCGCUCGGAUAUCCAGGCUUUCUUGAUUGAAAGAGUUUUGCUUUCAAAUUGUCUUGGUUUAAAGACAUUAUUCGAACA